GCUGCAGUUAAACAUGCACUAAAUCGAGUCUACUUUAGUUUCAAUCUGGUAACGCUAUCUAGUUCGACGAAUAUUUUUGAAAGGUUCAGCUGCUCAUGUUGCCGUUGGUCUAUGUAUCUAUCGACGAUUCAGGCGUUCUUCUUCCCUAUAACUAGGCUCUCCAGCCAAUCAACGGUUGACCUGGUCAGCAUGCAAGUUCUGCUGAUUAAUCAUACCAUAAAACUGAUCCAUCAUUCUUUGAUCAUGCAUUAAUGGGAGGACGACACCGCCAUUAAUCAUUGUCGUCCCCCUCGUAUAAAUGGCUGGAUUCACAUAAUAUCCUCCAUAAGUAGUCACUUGCACUAUAGGACUGCCAUAAUAAGGAAUCCAACCCUGUUCAGUCAUUAACGUUGAUGGUGGCACGACCAUGCCACCAAUCCCACGCCUGAAUCCUCCAUUACCAGGGGCAGUGCUGUUGGUACCCACACCACCUGCCACUCUCGGGCGCUGUUGAUUAUUUUGAGUAUUUCUACAUCCAUCACUAGGCAAUCUCUGAUCAUCACCAGAUCCACCAAUAUGUUGGCUCCCACCACUAGGUCCACCACCAGUGGCAGUAUUGCUACCCCCACCACGACGAUUCCGUUUU
rnacentral:lncRNA from 1 species